UACGUAGGGUGCGAGCGUUAAUCGGAAUUACUGGGCGUAAAGCGUGCGCAGGCGGUUUUGUAAGCCAGAUGUGAAAUCCCCGGGCUUAACCUGGGAAUGGCAUUUGGGACUGCAAGGCUGGAGUGCGGCAGAGGAGACUGGAAUUCCUGGUGUAGCAGUGAAAUGCGUAGAUAUCAGGAGGAAUACCGAUGGCGAAGGCAGGUCUCUGGACAGUUCCUGACGCUGAGGCACGAAGGUCAGGGGAGCAAACGGG
rnacentral:rRNA from 1 species